rnacentral:rRNA from 1 species
CACGUAGGGGACGAGCGUUGUCCGGAUUCAUUGGGCGUAAAGCGCGCGUAGGCGGCUCGGAAAGUCGGUCGUGAAAUGCCGGGGCUCAACCCCGGGACUGCGUCCGAUACUCCCGAGCUGGAGGCAGGUAGGGGAGAUCGGAAUUCCUGGUGUAGCGGUGAAAUGCGUAGAUAUCGUAAGGAAGACCAGUGGCGAAGGCGGGUCUCUGGACAGUUCCUGACGCUGAGGCACGAAGGUCAGGGGAGCAAACGGG